rnacentral:lncRNA from 1 species
AAGAAAGGAGCAAUAAUCAUUUUCUUGUUUUAUCAAGAGGGUGCUAUUGCUCCUUUCUUUUUUUCUUUUUAUUUUAUUUAGUAAUUUACUAGUAUUUUACUUACAUAUACUUUUUUGUUUACAUUAUAGAAAAAGAAAGAGAGGAUAUUUGCAUGCAUUUAUCAUUUAUUCAGGAUUGAGUAUUCUAUUUUCAUUUUGUAUGUAUUUAUUGAAAAUUAUAGAAAUAUAACUUGUUCCUCUUCUUGCUAAUGUUACUAUAUCUUUUUUAUUUCAUA